AACGAACGCUGGCGGCAGGCUUAACACAUGCAAGUCGAACGCCCCGCAAGGGGAGUGGCAGACGGGUGAGUAACGCGUGGGGACAUACCCUUUUCUACGGAAUAGCCCUGGGAAACUGGAAUUAAUACCGUAUACGCCCUACGGGGGGAAGAGUUAUCGGGGAAGGAUUGGGGCGCGUUGGAUUAGCUAGUUGGUGGGGUAAACGCCUACCAAGGCGACGAUCCAUAGCUGGUCUGAGUGGAGGAUCAGCUACAUUGGGACUGGGACACGGCCCAAACUCCUACGGGAGGCAGCGGUGGGGAGUAUAGGACAAUGGGCGCAAGCCUAAUCCAGCCAUGCCGCGUGAGUGAGGAAGGCCGUAGGGUUGUAAAGCUCUUUCACCGAUGAAGAUAAUGACGGUAGUCGGAGAAGAAGCCCCGGCUAACUUCGUG
rnacentral:rRNA from 1 species